ACCUGGAUAGCUCAGUUGGUAGAGCAUCAGAAUUUCAGUCUGAAUGUCCAGGGAUUAAGUUCCUGUUUGGGUG